GGCCUCCCUGAAGCCUGAACUCAGCAGGCCCCAGCAAGCCAGGAAGGAGGCUGGCAGAGCUCCCUGUAGCAGACCAGACCAUCCAGCACAGCUUUUGCAAGGUGAGAUGGUGGCUGUCCUGAAUCAGUGCCUGGAGGCAGUAAUGGGCUGGAUGAGGGUGAACAAGAUGGUGAAACUGGUGGGGAAGACUGGAUAAAGGUGUGGUGUGAGAGAACACCAGUAUGCUGAAACUCUUCUGCACAUCCAGACCAGAUUCUGAAGUCUACAUGGUUGUGCCUUAUCAUGCUAGAAGUGGCCCAGGCCUCUCUAAGAAAGCCUGUUCGAAACACAGCAGACCACCUCCUGAAGGGACUGAUCAAUGAAGCAUGUUGCGCCAGUGGCCGAGAAUCUUCAGUGGCUUGCUGUUCUCGUUUGCAUAGAAGUCAAGGUGCUUGUUUAACUAAUGUGGCCCUAAGUUACUUGGGCCCAACUUGUCUGAGAACCACCCCUGUGUUUCACCAAGAUCGCUGACUGACCAAGUGGGUUGUCUGAGUAUUACCACCAGUCUUUCCAGCAAGGAUAUUGUAAGCAUGCAAAGAGGCAUUUUUGUUGACUGCCCCUCCAUGCUGCAACUCUCAUUUCCUAGAGAUUUCUCCAAGCUCAAGCUUCUUUAGAAGCCAUUGCAGUACUCCAAACCUGGACUGGUAUUUAGGUUUGCUAGAUGUCUUUGCCAAGGCUCCUGUGGUUAACUGCUCUGUGUCCCCAUGACUGCACCUGCAUGCUGGCAAAAAUGUCACCUGUCAUAGAUGGUUAAAUAUAGCUGUUAUAGCUACAGAAACCUGGAAUCAGGAGGAGGAGGAAAGAAGAAGAAGAAGACCCAGCAACCUGACAGACAUUCUGUUAUAGAAAUUCACUCCAGCAGUAGUGUGUGUGUGAUCUGUCACAACAAUGGUAAUGACUAUUAUGUGUGUUUAAAGAUAUUGUUACCUGUUGAGUGCAUGUCCUGGGGCUAGAAAACACAGACAUAAAGGAGAUGAAAUCAUUAUCAAAUGAACAAAUAAUCAAAACCAAGUCAGUCCAAUUUUGGUUCUUGGAGCUUUAUAUCAUGCAUGCUGUGGAUAAAGUGGAUAGAUGUAACAUUUUCUUUCUCUCUUAUAUUACUAAAGCUUGGAUACACCCAAAGACAUUGAUUGGCAGGAGAUUCUGGUCAGACAAAUGAAAUACAUUUAUUGUGCAAAGCAUAAUUAACUUCUGGAAUUCACUGCUUCUGAAAAUGUACUGAUGGCCAUAAGUAUAAAUGGCUUUAAAAUGGGAUUAGAUGCAUGAAAGAGUGCUACCUGAAACCUUGGAGAAGCCACUAUCAAUCAGUGUAGAGAAAAUGAGCUAGAUGGACCAAUGGUCCGGCUCAGGAUAAGGCAGAUUUCUAUGUUCAUAGAUGGAGAAGAAUGCUAGAACCUCAUAGCCCCUGGGACAUGUCUGGGUUUACUUUUAGGUCAGCAUUUCCCAACCUAGCGUGUCACAGAACACUGGCCAGUGAGCUGUGGUGGCUUUCUGGGUCAGUUUCAGAAGAGGGGAAUUUAAAUUUUCCAACUUUGCAGAUAAGUCACCCCAUAAUGCAUCAGGAGGGCCCUCUCCCUUCUGGAACCAAAUAAAUAAAUAAAUACAACAUAACAUAGUAAGUGUCUGUUGGGAAGGAACAGUGUGUAUAUAUGUAUUGUGGGUGCUUCAAUCUGUUUUUCUUUUAAAAAGUGUUCCUCAGGCCAAAAAAAAAAAAAGGGCUGGGGAAAUACUGGCCAAAUUCUCAUAUAACAACAUAACAUGAAACUGGAGAUUGACGACCCCGUGGUUUCAAUUUGAAACCAUAAAUCACAUUGCAGAAGUUUGUCCAACCAUGAUUUGACAGCCUCUGGUUUCAGGGCAGGGUGGCCCCUCCCUGCUCUUGGCUGACGAAGCCAUAUUGCAGGCAGCUGCAUGCAGUUCACAUUGCCAGACUGAGGGCAGGGUAUCAGCAUGUCGUCUGGGGACGUCGCAAUUGUCCAUGAUCCUAUGCUGCAGGGAGAGCAUAGCAUAGCUUUUAGCAGCAGCAAAGUGUACUGAUUGGCAUCGAAAGAUGAGUCCCUCACUAUGGAUGCAUUUGCACCCCAUGCCCUCCACCUUCCAACUGGCUGGCACCCUGACAAUGGAGACUGCUCUUGGUGCACACCUGUGGAGGAAGUAAACACCCAUCUUAUUUCAGGCCACCUCUGUUGGGUGUGAGCAGGACAAGAGCACAGGUCGCCUUGCGAGGGGCAUGGCCAUGUUGGGAACAAAAGCACAAAGUUAUUUUUGUGGAGUGCUACAAUCCAUCACAGGGGAUCCUGCUGGGGUGCAGUGCUGCACUGGGUUGUGCCCACCUGUGUUAAUGUAUAGGCAGGCACCAGCUUGGCUGGAAUGGAGAGACAUGUGCAGCCACAUGUGGAACUUCCUCCCUACUGUUCACCAUCCCCAUCUUUCUCCCUCGGUGUGCCCAGUUCCCCUUGACUGCUGUAGAAAGGCGGCAAAACAUGAGAUGGUUUUGUAUCUUUAAAACCUCAGUACACAUCUCUGUUGCCAGGCAGAAUGGGGAAGAGAGAGGAGGAUGGUAGGGGCAUGGAGCUUUGGCUGAGAGGCAGCAAUCAAUAGUCGUGGUGUGCAUAGAGCUGCCACAUUCCUGAGCGGGUCUGGGCUGCCCUCUCUAUUAUUGUUAUAUUAGUAAUUUGAACCAUUUGUGAUUUUGUAAACUUUGAAAUUUCUUGAAUUUUCUUAUUAAUGCUAUUAAUUGUUAUUGUUUGUUAAUCUGGUCUGUGACCACAAUAAACUUAC